GGUAGCGUGGCCGAGCGGUCCAAGGCGCUGGUUUAAGGCUUCGGGGGCAUGGGUUCGAAUCCCAUCGCUGCCA
rnacentral:tRNA from 1 species